rnacentral:snRNA from 1 species
UUCAGUACUAAACUGGAGCAAUACAGAGAAGAUCGCAUAGCCCAUGUGCAGGGAUGACAUACAUUCGUGAAGUGUUCUAUGUUUUU